rnacentral:lncRNA from 1 species
CUCAGGCAGCCCAAGGGGCGCAGACUCACGAAGGCCAGGAUCUUGUCUCUGGGUGUCGCAGCCUCACGUGGGGAACGUGGUGCUUCAGUGGCGGUGCAACUGGCGGGUGGCGGUGGAAUCGUGAGACCUGGAGAAGCGGAAGGGCACUGGGAGAAGGACGCGGACGCCUGCAGGAAGUCAGGCCUGGAAGGCGCUCACAAAGAGCGGGCUGUCCUCUCAGGUACUGCGCCUGCCUGGGCCCAUGAUGGCAGGCCGAGCGGGCAGCAGCGGGUGGCCAGGGAGGCAGAGAGGCCGCAGCGCCAAGGGGCUGGUGGGCUCCCGCGGGAUGGGACGUGCUUUGGAUGAGUGAUUGGGGUGUCCCCCAGGCGGGUGGCCUCUCCGGGUGGUCCUCUCAUUCAGGAGGCUUGCCUUUCCUUCCUUGUCCCUAGUGGGCUGUUUCAGAGGGUGAAGUGUCAGUCAUCACGCUCGCUGUACAGUUCCUGAGGUGGCUCUCCAGGCCUGUGGCUUCCAGGAAGGGAUGUGCGGCCUUCACACAAGAUUCCCCCCAUGAAAUGUGGUGAGUUUCUUCUCUGGCUGUGAUUUCCAACCUGGAAUCGCCUUCAGGAGCAGAAAAGGGGACAGUUUAUCCAACGUGAUCUUUCCAGUUUGAGGGGCAUUCUUAGGAUGCAUCUCUCCUGUUUUCUCAUACGCAUUCAGAAUUUCAGAUUUUCUCAUUUCCUGAUUCUUAAAAGUAGACAUUGACUCCCUUAUUGCACAUAUCAAGUCAUGGCUUUUUGAAACACUGGGUGGAGUGAUUGUCAUCUCACUAGUGCACCAGGUUCUCAAGUAGUAAACUGACCUUCUUCCAUAUGUAGUCCAAUUUUGUAAGGAGAGGGAAUGAAUUUGAAAGUGGGCUGUGUGGUGAUAAUGAACUCUGACCUGAAUGAAAGAGGAAGGAGGAAAUGCUUAGAUAGUACACACUGCUUCUAUCAUGAAGAAGUGUGAGUGCAGCCACCAGGUAGGUCUAUGUUGUUGGCAGUAUGAAGCAAUAUAUGCCCAUUACUACUUUGGGGUAGCCAAUAGUAUUUAAGUGUAGGUAGUUUUGACUAAUCAUCCUCAUGUACAGGUUUAUAUUUAUUUCUUCAGGCUAGGUUAGAACAAAAACCAGGACCAUAACCUAAUUCUUGAUCAGUGCUUUAGUCCUAUUAUGUAGCAUGAUAUAUAGUACUCAAUUUGUUUUUUUAGUGGUUAUGCUCAUUUUAAGUACUUGAUUAAGGAGUUGUCUGCUAGGCCUUUCAUUUGUGAGUUACUCUUUUCCAUUUUGUGAUUAAUGAAUGACUUGUAGGGUAUUUGGGGACUCUAUAUCUUAGUCAUUAUCGUGCUUUAAAUUUACUCACAUUUAUUUUAAUAUAGACUUCUUGAAACUUAUUUUAUUCAGUGGGCUGUAAUCCAUUAUUUCAUUAUUUAGAUUUUCAAGUUGUGCCAGAUAUGAGUAGUAGGAAAUCUAAGUUGGAUUCUCAAUUUGGGCCAUUGUUUGAACACUUUACUUUCCUGUUUGUUUAUUUUUUAAAGUAUAAAUUGGCAAAUUUUAGUUGUAUAUAUUUAUGAUGUAUGAGGAGAUGUUAUAGUUUAUAUACACAGUGUGAAAUAAGCAUACUAACAUACACAUCAUCUUAAAUACCAGAGUAUUUUUGUGGUGAGAACAUUUGAAAUUUAUUCUUUUAGUAAUUUUGAAAUGUAUAGCAUAUUAUUAUUUAUUUACCAUGGUGUGCAAUAGUUCUCAAAAAACAGAAAAAUCUAUUCCUUCUGUCUGAUUGAGAUAUUGUAUGCUUUGACCAUUUUCUUCCCAUGUCUCCCAUGCCACAGCGUCUGGUAACACCAUUCGACUCUAUGCUUCUUUUAAUUUUAUUAUUUUUCAUUUCACAUGUAAAUGAGAAUAUGUGGUAUUUGCCUUUAUGGAGUACUUUCUUUUGACAGUAGAUAUUUCAGGUUCAAUGUACUCUUUAUUGGCUGUUCAAACUCUGGUAUUAGUUGUUUCUCUAAAAGCCCUGGUUCCUUUUAAUGUGGGCCUAGCACUUAGAAUCCUGAAUCUGAGUUCUAUAUGAGUUCAUUGCUGUUUGAGUGUCACUGCUCUGGCAUAUGUGUGUGUAGGCACACAUGCAUACACUUAUUUGUAUAUCAUUUAUAUUUCAGUGUUUAUUAUUCAUUUGUUCUGAAAUGUUCAUACAAUGAAAUGCAUUUUAAGUCAAAUGUGGUUGACUUUCAAUAAAUCAUUAUAAUCUAAACUGCUUUCAAGAUAAAGAAUGUUAAGCCACACCUGAGAAAGUUCCCUUGUGUCCCUUCUAAUUGAUUUUUUCCUACUGAUUAAAGGCAGGAUUCUGUUUUAUCCUACCAUUGAGUGUUUUACUUUGUCUUUUUAGAAUUUUGUAUAAAUUGAUUCUUCUUAAAAAUUAAUUGUCACUGGAUCCUUAUUUUGUUUAUUUAUAUGCUGUGCUGACAAUCAAACCCAAUGCCUCACACAUACAAGCAAGUAUUCUACCAUUGAGCCUCAACCUAGAAACAUAAUGGGUACUUACACUUUUUUGUUAUUGUUUUUGUUUUUUGUUUGUUUUAGUAAAAAUUGAAGGAGAAGUUUUAUUGUUUUCCUAGCAAUAGAGAAACAAUGGGACUCUUGUUCCAGAGGCUGUUGAUUCUGCCCAUCAGGAGGAAUAGGUUUUUUUUUUUAAAGAUACAAUUCAAAGGCUACAUUCCACCUAUUUUCUGUUCAGGAGUUGUAACUCACUUGUUGAUUUAGGAGAUAUUCAUUUCUGAGAUCUUCUGGUGCCGUCUUCAAGUCUGAAUUACUUAAUUCUUAUUAUGGAUGUGAGUCUUAUUAGGAUGAGUAAGAAAGUUAUGGGAUCUUACACUCUGUGUCUGAAUCAAUAUGCUUUAGAGGUUCAUUCAUGUUGCUUGAAUCAGUGUUUUGUUUUGUUUUCUAUUUUAUUACUGCAGUAGUAUUCAUUUUAUGAAUAUAUCAUAGUGCAUUUAUUUUUUUCCAUUGAAGGAUAUGUGAGCAUUUUCCAGGCUUUGAACUUUAUCUUACUAGAUGUAUUGGGGAAAAAUAUGUAUGUGUAUGUGUAUAUGUGUGUGUAUACACACAUAUAUAUGUAUGUAUGUAUAUUUCACUUAGGUAAAUAACUCAAAGAGUGGAAUGGCUACCACAUAAGGUAAAUCUUUGUUUUCUUUUAAAAGAAACUGUCAAAAAUUCUGAACAUUCUCAUGAGCAAUAUAUGAGAGUUCCAGUUGCUGCAUAUCUUCACAUUGUUUAGUGAUGUAAGUCUUCAUACCUUAGCCAUUUCUGCUGGGUAUAUAGUGGUAUCUCAUUGUGGCUUAGGGUUGUACUUCCAUGUUGACUAAUGAAGUUGACAACAUUUGACUGUCUUUUAUUGGCCAGUCAUUCUUUUUCUGUGAAGAAUAGAUUUGGAUCAUGUCUAUUAUUUGUUGAGUUGUCCUGUUAUUACUGAGUUGUAGAAGUACAUUUAGUAGGACUGGAUAUAGUCCUUUGUCAGAAAAAGGUUCUGUAAUGGGAUUACAGGUAUGACCUACUCAAGUUUUAAACAUAUUUUUUUAAACUGAGCCACUACUGUUUCUAUCAAAUCCAUGUUGCCUGAUCACUUAAUGCUGUAUAGACUUAUGCACAGAAUUAGAUAAUAUUUUGAAAAGGUUUUUUUUUGUGUGUGUGAAGGAUCCUCAAAGUCAGGGGGCAUACCUGUGGUCCCAGCUUAUUGGGAGACUGAAACAGGAGGAUCAUUUGAGUCUCAAAGUUCUGCUGGAUUUGUGUGCAUUAUUUUUUAAGCUUUAUUUAGAAUAAUACUUGUAGGAUAUACUGAGAGGUAAAGGUAGAUAAACAUUUAAAUAAUGAUAUAUGUAUCAUGUCCAUUUUUAUUAGGGUAGAGUGACAUACACCUAUUUUGUAAUAUAAUUUUGUUCAUGAAAGCAUCAUAAAUGGUAUUAUCAAAUAUUAUUGGAGCUUGACAAAAAUGAAAAAUUCAAAUUUUACAAAUCUCUGUAGAUAAAUGUCUUUUAAUUAUUGUGUUUGCUGAGACUGUUUUUUGUAAAACACAAAUACAUAGUGAAAUGUGUAUUUUGAAAUAAAACUCAAUUUGAUAAUGGAAAAGCUUAGAAAGGAGUAUUUAGAUUUGGUUUACCAUGAAAUUAAAAUACUUUUUUUAGUUGAACAACUAGUCUGAAGUUUUUACUCCUUAAGAACAAACAUAUUAGAUGAUUGGAUUCUGUCUCUGAGUAAUGCAAGAAUAAUAAAUAAGCAUCAAAACUCAGAGAAUCGUAAAAUGAAUGAAUUCUGGGCAAUAAAAUUUCUGGAAUCAAUUUGAUCUGAAGUCAGAACUUAUCAACAUUCUAAUUGUCUAGAUUUGUCAUUCUGUUAGAGAUAGCUGAUUCAUAAAGGAAUUCUGGGUCACAGAAUAUAAAUGACAAUCUGUUCUUGCUGCAUCAGCCUUUGCUUAUGCUAUUCAAAUGCACGGAGCAUCAAAUCUGGAUGUUUUAUUAUAAUACAGAAAAGAAAUCUGAAUUCCAAGCAAAGACUUGAGAAUUGAGUGUCUACAAUAAGGUUUAAUUACAGAAAAUUUUAUACUUACCCUGUGUCUGUCCAUCUGUCUCUGUCACAGAUUUCCACUAUGACUCCAAAAACAAGAACAAUGAGGAAAAAGUUUUUGACUGAUUUUAUGUAGGACUUAAAACACCUAGAGAAAGUGUUCAGCUCUGAGCUAGGAAAUUCUCCCCGCCCCCAUAACCUUAGAUGAACAUCACUGUCCUUUGUCAAUAUCUAUCUAUCUAUCUAUUUAUUUACUUAAUUUAUUUUUGGAAGGGGAUUGGGGAUUGAACUCAUUGGCAUAUGACCGCUGAGCCACAUCCUCAGCCCUAUUUUGUAUUUUAUGUAGAAACAGAGUCUUAAUGAGUUGCUUAGGGCCUUGCAGUUGUGGAGGCUAGCUUUGAACUCACAAUCAUCCUGCCUUGGCCUCUUGAGCUGCUAGGAUAACAGGCAAAUGUCAAAACAUUCAGCUGACAAUGUCCUUUGCUCGGUAGUUAGUUAAGAAAAAAUUUCUCAGGAUUUUGUGUCCACAAAAAACAUUCCAAAAAUGUUGAUGUCACACUUCAGGCAUCAUGUUCUGGGUUUAAAAAUGCCCUGCAUGAUACAACUUAGCUUUGAACAUCAAAUGCAGAUUUCACAAUUUUGAAACCAGGCGAUUAAGAAAUAAAGGUGUUGAACAGCAAAAUGCAGCACAUCCUGUUGUCAAAUACACACACACACACACACACACACUCGCACGCGAGCGCGUGCGUGUGUGUGUGUGUGUCUGUCUGCUUACAAUGAAUAGACAGCUGGAGGCCAUCCAUAACCUUGAGCCCCUGAGUCUCCAUUCAUGACCCUGAGUCCCUGAGCCUCCAUUCAUGACCUUGAGCCCCUUACCCUCCAGAGUUUUGCAGAAACAAGAAUGUAGCACACAACACCUCCCCAUAAACACACUAUAUUAUUUACUAGACAGGCCAGCUGAAGUAUGGUGUGCCUUUCUAACAAUGUGUGGUUCUAUUUGCAUAUAUAUGGCAUCUGUAUUAGAGAAUGCUAAGACAGAACCUGAUGAAGCAAAGUUGCUCUUUCUCUUAAAAUAAAACCACAGUCUUGCACCCUUUUCAAAUCACUGGUUUUGUAACAUGCUGAUUUGUUACAUUUGUGAAACCAAGAAUAAGAAUGAUGUAAGAAUGAUGUAAAUUAAAAGCCCACAAAGUAAUGCAUCCAUCUUGCCAGCAACUGUUAAAAGGAUGCAGGUGUGUCACCAAGGAAAAGCAAGCCGUUCCCCAGCCACAGUAUGAAAACUCAGGAACUUACCUUUCCCUGGACCUUUCUUCAAAUCACUCUGCAAGGUGCUUUUUCUCAGAGAGUUAGGGUUUUAACAGCUAACAAAGUAUGAGAAGAUCUCUUCAACUUCAGUACUUCUGGUUCUCCCAGGCCUCUGCAAGACUCAGUCUUCAUCUGGGCAUGGUGGUAUGCAGCUGUCAUCCAAGCAGCUGGGGAGGCUGAGGAAGGAGGAUCACAUGUACAAAAAUAGCCUCAGGAACUUAGCAAGGCUGUAAGCAACUUAGCAAGAUCCUGAAUCAAAAUUAAAAAAGAUUUGGGGAUGUGGCCUAGUGGUAGAGUGUCCCUUGGUUUAAUCUCCAGUAACAAAAGAAGAAAAAGGAAAAAGAGGAGGAUAAGAAGAAGGAGGAGGAGGAGGAGGAGGAAGAGGAGACUCAAUCUUUGGACUCAGACUCAGUUUUUACUGUGUGUAAAUGUUAAUAAUUACAUCAUUUAAAAAUGUUUUUAAAAUGAUAAUAGAUAUACUUACUGAAUGCUCACCAUAGUGCUCUAAACCAGAUACCUUCACUGAGUUUUGCUGAUAUGGCAAUAAUAAACCGACUGACCAUACUAAGAUGUCACCUCUCUUAAUGGGUGUUUUAUUUGGGAGCCUCUGGUCAAUUACUCUCUCACAACACACGUGUAUUAACAACCCCUGCAAAUCCGACUAACUCAGACUCUGUGAACAGUAGCAAACUAUGAGCAGACCCCAAGUAGGCACAGAGACAUUUGUUCAAACUCCACUGCAGGUGUGAACUUACCUGUCUGCCUCACUGCUCAUCAGUUCUCAGGCUAGGGCAGUGGUCACACCCAUGGCACAUGGGGCCUGUCUAGAGGCAUUUUUGAUUGUUAAAAAAAUUAAGAUGUGGUCAUAGCAUAUCUAAUAUGUAGGGAACAGAAUGGCUACACAUCAUAAUUAUGGGCAAGCACCUCACCACAAACAAUCCUAUGGUGUCUAAGGUUAACCAUGCUGGAGCUCAGGAAACCUGGGCUAGAUCACACAUGCUGCACAUGAAAGCACUGGGCCUGUCUAGUUCUUUAUUUUGUCCCCAGUACAUUAACCACAAUGAUCAUCUCCUUACUAGGUGUCUCCUACUGGUGAGGAAGGGAGGAAAAAAAGAAGGGAGAGAAGAAGACACCCAGUAUAUUCUCAGGAGAAACUGAAAGCCUGCAUACAGGAAAAUUGCUAAUUUGGGCCUGGUUGCAGUGCUACAGUCUCUCUGUCAAAGAGUUCUGCAAUCCAUUCCAAAGUUUUCCAGGCCAAGUCCAGUUGUUGAUGUCAAGCCAGAUGUCCCUCCUUGAACAUCAGGGAAGAUUAUUCCUAAGCUAUAAUCCCAAUUGAGAAAGUAGUCUUUCCCCCUCUUCUAUCGCAAGCAUGUGUUGGGGUAGGGGAGGUACUGAAGAUUGCACACAGGAACAUUCCACAGAUGAUAUACACCUGAACAAGAUCCUUAGCCCUUUUUUAAAAUUUUAUUUUGGGACAGGGUCUCAUUAAACGGCACAGGCUGGCCUUGAACUUGCAACCCACCUGCUUCAGUCCCAUGAAUCACUUGGAUUAAAGGCAUAUACCACUGUACCCAGGGCAUACCUUCCUGGAUAUAGUUAAUUCCCAGAGAGUCAGCCAUCUCCCUAGCAUGCUCACCUUAUGCAAAUUAGGCAAUCAAAUUCUCACACCACCAGUCCCCUAUUAGGCACCCAGCCUCACAGGCCUCUUUUUGCCUGCUCCAAGCACAGCAGGUCCAGGUACCAAAGAACCAGGGUUGACCCCUGCCCACUAGAGCCCACUGAAAUGACUAAAAUAUACUAACCCUAACUAAACCUGCUUCUGCUGCCUUGUCGUUUCUUCCUGCACAAAUACAGUAAAGUCUCUUUCCCAUGUUGUCCAUCACCUUCUGCCCUCUCUGCUCCUAACCAACCCUGGCACUUCCCUCAUGGCCCUACAGUGCUGUUCAUAGAAAACUCUAGCUCUCUGUGACAGUCUAUCUAUUUCUGUGAGUCUUCCAUAUCUGAUGAAGACAAACCCAAGGCACUCUUACAAUAAUGCCAAACCUGUAAAGCUUCUCCAUAGGGCCAGGGCAACUGCAUAUAUAGCCUUCAACCCUGAGCCUGGGUCCUGGGGGUGCACCAGAUUCCUGUUAGUCCCUCCCAUUUUAAUGCUGGGUAAUAGUGUCAAUGGUGAGAGCAAAGGAAGGCCACUGAAUUUGUGAAGUAGGAAGUGUGCAAGCACUGUUCCUGUUGCUCACACUCUCUUCUUUCAAAUUGGGCCACAGAAGAGACCCAGGAGCAGACAAAAGCCCACAAAAGAUGGGGAUAGAGCUAGACUUGGACCCAAGAAUAAAAUGUUAGUUCUCUUUCCAGCCACUCAGUUAUUUUCCAAAUGAAUAUUUUAAAGCAUUGAAAAAAUGCAGGCCAUAUGUUCUGGGUAUCCUUACAAUCAAAGUAAACUUUUUUACCAGAAGAAAAUAGACUGUCGCCACUUUAUGUCACCACUCCUCCCAAAUUGUAUUUAGGGCCUGUGACCACAGCUGUGCCACCUCCUGAACUACAGGCUGGGGGAAAUGGUCAGGCUGACCUUCAAGGGGAGGAGGACUUGUAACCUUCCAAAGGAUUUUCCUGCUACAGUACUAUAGUCAUUGCUCUCUCUAAUCAAAGCCCCUAGCUUCAUAUCUGUUCCUGGGCACUGCAGUAAAAUCAGCCUGAGCACAGGAACACUUCAAGGACUGUGAUGGGAGCGGCUCAGAGAAGCCAGCAGGAAAACACAUGCUUGCCCUCUCAUGGUCUCAACAAGAAACUGCAGGUAUCAGCACACCAUAAACCAGGAUCUUCAUAUAAGAAAACUGCAAUCUUUCCAAUUGUGGUCAGAGCACAGUGACAGUGGGUUUUGCUUCCAUCUUGGAAGAGUAGUAAAGUUCAAAAUGUUUAAAAGGUUUUGACUAUCUGGUGUGGGUGUUGUCAUUGAGAGUCUUAAAGGGGUCAUUACAACAGGAUUCCCUGGUUUCCUGAGCACUAGGGAACUGUGGUGCCUACCCCUUUGGAUCUCAAGGUAUUUCCAUCUGCACCGGAACUGGACAGUUUUUGAUGCCAGCAUGUGGUGAGUGUCAGUCAGUGAGGUCAUCUUAAAAAGUUUUUUUUUUUUUUUUUGGUUUUUGUUUUGUUUUGUUUGUUUGUUUUUAGUACAAUGGUGAAAAAAGAUCUUGUUCUUGGAGGAGAGACCAAGUCAGACCAUAAGUACUCAUCCCCAAACAUGAACCUGAAGGGAUCAUCAAAAUUAAGAUUCCUGAGCCACUCUGAGUCUAAUACUAAUACUGUCUGUUUGUGACCUGAGAAUCCACAUUCAUGUCCAGUUCUCUGUUGAAAUUGUUGUUGGUCUGGGUUCCACUCUUUGGGACCCAGUCUCAACCAUAAUAUGACUUAGGCUAUAGUGAAUCUUCCUAAAUGAUAGGGGACAGAUGUGAGUGGUGGGAGCAUGAGUUUCAGGGAAUAAUUCUAUAAAGUGGGCCCACAAUGUUGAACCUCACCAUGCUGUAUUUUCCAAGAAACAAUUUACCUGCAGCCUUGCCCUGCUAAAGUGGACAGGAUAUGUCACACUCCUCAGCAAACUAUUUGUUUUCUGCAGGAGAAAAGCAGGACUGUAAUAAUGUUGAUAAGAGGAACCAAUUUCCAUGCAAGUUAAAAACUGCACAUUGCCUCAAAGAACUCCUCAUCUCAGAAUCUAGCCUGAGGAUUUUCACAUAGUACAUAAUCAAUAAAUUUAUGUGGUUUAUAAAGUCAAGACCUGGACCUCCCUUCUCCUCAGAGCAGUCUCAGAAGGACAAACUAGAAGCUACUGGAUGGACCAGAGAUAGGUGAUGAAAGGUUGGGGGUGAGAAGAGCCUGUCCUUGGCCUGAGAGCUGAGCGGAGCCUAGCUGUAAGCCCUGCUCUCUCCUUCACUAUUUCAUAUAGUGUCACUGUACAGAAGUACAUCUUUCUUGAGGCUGUGACUCACAUCAGCUUAACACAGUGACCCCAGGUGAUUCUUGUGAACCUGGCAGGGAGGAACAGGAGAAUGCUGAGAAAGGGUCCUGCAUCUGAGGGGAUGGGGCACAAGAGUACUCAAUUACUUGUUUUCCUUAAUGUUUUAAUCAUUCAUUUUUUCUUGCAGGGUUAAAGUAGGAGAAAAACUAUUUGAAAAUUUGAAAAGUACAUGUAUUAAGACCACUAAGUUAUUUGUUACAUUGUGAUGGCAAAUAAGACCUGGUUGUGGAAUGAAAUCAUAAAACUGUUCUGGUAAAGAUCCUCUGCCUCUUUUGGUGCCAAUACCAUGCUGUUGUUACUAUUGCUCUGUAGUAUAGUUUAGGGUCUGGUAUAGCGAUGCCACCAGCUUCACUCUUCAUGCUAAAGAUUGCUUUAGCUAUUCUGGGUCUAUCAUUUUUCCAGAUGAAUUUUAUGAUGGCUUUUUCUAUUUCUAUGAGGUAUGCCAUUGGGAUUUUGUUCGGAAUUGCAUUAAAUCUGUAGAGUGAUUUUGGAAAUAUGGUCAUUUUGAUCUUAAUUCUGCCUCUCCAAGAGCAAGGUAGAUCUUUCCAUCUUCUAAGGUCUUCUUUGAUUUCUUUCUUUAGGGUUCUGGAGUUUUUAUUAUAGAGCUCUUUCAACUCAUUGGUUAAGUUGAUUCCCAAGUAUCAUAUUUUUUUGAGAAUAUUAUAAAUGGUGUAGUUUUCCUCAUUUUCUUCUCAGAAGAUUUGUCACUGAUAUACAGAAAUGCCUUUGAUUUAUGGGUGUUGAUUUUAUAUCCUGCUACUUUGCUGAAUUCAUUUACUAGUCCUAGAAGUUUUCUGGUGGAUCUUUUUGGCUCUUCUAGUUAUAGAAUCAUAUUGUUUGCAAAUAGUGCUAAUUUAAGUUCUUCUUUUCCAAUACAUAUCCCUUUAAUUUAUUUUUUCUGUUUAAUUGAUCUGGCCAGUGUUUCAAGGACUAUGUUGAAUAUAAGUGGUGAAAGUGGGCAAUCCUACCCCUUUUCUCUAUAAAUAUAUAUGGAACUGUUUAUAAUUAUGUAUUAUAUACAAUAUGCACAUAUAUGAUACAUACAAUACAUAAACAAAACAUUUUUAUAUACAUGAUUGGUUAUAGGGCUCCCUUUUAAGUACCCAGUGAAGUCCUGGUUUAAUUUAUAACAAAGAAGACACCAGCCAAAACUAAUCUCAACCCUCCCUUACAAAUGAGUCUGAGGCUGGUAUCAGACUUGUGGUCAGAUUUCCAUGUCAUUUUAUAAACACAGAAGAACAUGAGCGAUAGAGGGAUUGGGCAGAGAACUAUUUCAUUGAGGACACAGAGUAAAAGGAGGACAAGAAGAAAUAUAAUUAGUUGUGUCACUUUGCAUCAUCAGAGAACUGGAAUCUGAAAUUCAUACAAGGAGGAUUCAAUCUGUUAUACUUGGGCACAUGGAUGACACGGGGCCUAUAGUGAAAUGGUUAUUACAAGCUUUUGAAAAAAAAAUCAUAUGAGUGGCACAUAAUGGAUAAACAAUCAAUAUGUACACAGUAUCUUCCAAGUGGUUUGUGAGCUGUGGCCCAAAGCACAUACAUGUAUUAGGAGCCUUGAUGAAAUUACCCAUCAGUGCCUUCUACAAUUAUUCACAUUUUAAAGGUGAGAAAACACAGAUAUGUCUGGAUAAUAAAUGGUAAGUCAGCAACACACAGAGAACUACACAGAGACAGAACUCUAUAGAAUCCCUUCAAAGGCUAUUUUGUUCCUGAUAUAAGGAAUGUCUGUCUGGAGAAAUAUUAUUUUCUCCCCAUUUUGAAGACAGUGCCUAGAGAAGACAUCCCAGGAGCAACACAAAUGUUUUUCCUUCUUUAAUGUUAAGGAACUCUUCAAAUAAAAUGCCAGAUCCAUUAUGAGGAUAAACACUUGGAAAUUAUACAGUGCAAAAGAGCAUACCCCAGGCCCAGAUGCUAAGUAUGACUCAGGAAAUAAAUAAAUCAAAAAGGCAUAUAAGUCAUUUAAUAAUUAUGUAACUAUUACUAAAAAUAAAUGUCAUUUUAUUCAAUAAACAAUAAAUUAUGUAUAAAUAUUUCAAGGAUUUGCCAAAUCUUAUCCCAUAUGAUUUUGUAAUAAACUCCAAAAUCAAGAUAAUAGAAUGCAUAAUACAGUGUCAAAAACUUUCAAGGGAAAAAAAAAACAAGCCUUCAAGGAAGAGGAGUGUAUAUUUUAGUGAAUGUCGUUCAACAAUUUAUUUACUAAAUGAUUUUGAGGAAAUAGAUUUAUUUUCCUGCAGCCUUAAGGAAGGGAGAUUUUCCCCUAUUUAUUUUUCCUGUUGGAAUUUCCCAAGAUAAGCCCUAUAAUUCUAUCGGAAAUGACGUAUAAAAUAAAACAGAGAAAAAUACAAUACAUACUGAGGGGAAGCAAAAGAGCAAUUUGUUUUUAUUAAUUAGUAAAAUCAUUUUUUUUUCUUGAAAUGAAACUAUAUUUGCCUUUUUGGGUUUAAUUUUUUAAUCCUUGUAGCCAGGUAUCACAACAGAAAUGCAUGGAAGUUCCUUGAACUUCCAAUUCAUACAGGAGAUAAUCUAAGUGUUCAAUAAUCAUAAAAAUUCAACAUCUUUAGCAUUUAGAGAAAUAUAGAAUGAAAUCCAAUCAUAGACAAAAUUAAAUAGUAUUGAUGAAAAUACUAAACAAAUGAAUACUUGUAAACUCAAGAGCAGUUUAAGUUAUUAUUAUCUAUUUGUGGAAACUGUAUUUCUAUUGAAGAUACAUGACACUCCCCAUCAAUGAGAGUUACUUCUCAAAUCACAGCAUAUGUGACCAUGAAAACAUGAAAGACCACAACAGUACUCUUGCAAACACUUGAAAGAGAUAAAUAAUAAUCUGUGAGGUAAAUGGACACUAGGUUCCAGUCUCAUUUUUGGUUAUAGUAUAUCCAGUUUAAAAAUAGUGUAAAACACUAUGUUUAAGGUUUGUAUAGGUGUAAUAUUCAUGUGGUAAUUCACAUGUACACAAGUUUAGAAAAAAAUAUUUAGGAAUUGUGAGAAAAUAAAAAUUAUGAGAAACACAUAAAAGACUCAAUUACACAUUCUGUAUGUAGAUGAUAAAACUCAUCAUUAUGAAGAUGAGGAUUUUCCCCAAAUUAACCUACAAUAUAUUACCACCAAAAUUGCUUUGUACAUAUAUGAAUAUAUCACAGGCAAUUGUACCUUUAUGUGUAUCUAUAAAGCAGUAAUUCUUUAAAACUAUAAAUAAAUGGAAAAGAGGAAAAGGUAGAAAAAGAGUGAAAGGGGAAUUACUGGUAAUGAAGUGGGGCAAAUUAUAUUCCAUGCUUAUAUGAUUAUGUCAAAAUGAACUCAAAAAUAAUAUGUAACUUAAUGCAAUAAUUUUAAAAAUCAACAUGCUUUUCUUUUAAUAAAAUAAAUAACCAAAGCAUACAUUCUUAAAUUCAUAUAUAUAUAUAUAUAUAUAUAUAUAUAUAUAUAUAUAUAUAUGUAAUUAUACAAGAAAUUUUUCAAUUGUAAGAGCAAAAGAAAUACUUAUCAUCUCCUGAAAUUCAUGUAUAUUAUGAAAUUAUGCUUUUACAAUAAUCAUCGAGGAAUCACUAUAUGAACAAAUCAGUAUAUGAAUCCACAUAUAAGUAAAAAUUACAUACUUAAUUGCAAUUGAAAAGUCUAGAUAAAUCCAAUCUUAACAAGACCAAUCUCAGCAAAUUAGCUAGACCCUAUAUCAAAAUAAAAAUUAAAAGUUCAAGUUGUAUAGCUCAGUGGUAAGUAUCCCUUGGUUCAAUACCUAGUAAUGUUUAAGAAAGUAAAAAUGAAACUAGCUAGCUGAGGAACAAGCAAGGCACUAUAGACCACAGGUCCUCUCCUGAAGGAAAAGGGCAUGUAAAGAUUUGAUUAUUAUAACCAUCCCAUCUGUCUAUAACCAGCAUCUGGCAAGAGCCUAGGUUGCAGGUGUACUCCUGCCAGAUAGUAUUUCAGAAAGGGACUGAGGAUGCCCUGCAAGGUUAAGGAAGGCUGUGAGAAGUCUCUGCCACUCGUAUGUUCCCCACUUGGAUGAGCCAGUAGGAUUGGGGGUGUACUGCCCAGUGGAGUGCUUAGGACUGCAGUCUACAGAGACUGCCCAGAGUCCCCAUUUGCCAGCACCUGUUCCUGCCACAGCCAGGCCCAUCUCCCUUCCCCAGCUUCCAACAGUCUCCCUUCCCCAGCUUCCCUCCUCAGACUCAUGAUGUCAUAGCACACUAACCAUUUCCUUGUGCUCAGGAGCCAGGCCUGCUCCAUAGGGAUCUCCACCACCUGUACAUCAGAGCAACCUGGGACUCCCAAGCAUGAGAGUGAAGCCUGGAGUUGAAUGCAGAAAUGGCAGACUCAAGAGAAAAGGACCAGAUUUCAGAUUCAUGUAUAUUAUGGAAUNAUAAGGCCAGUUUUAAAUGUUGUUGGUUGCAGCUUUUUUUUUGAGGUCUCAGAUUGCACACCAGAGCUUCAAGCUGCUGCUAUUUUGGGGGGUAGGAUACCUGAGAUGGAACUCAAGGGCACUCAACCACUGAGCCAUGUCUCCGGCCCUAUUUUGUAUUUUAUUUAGAGACAGAGUCUCACUGGGUUUCUUGGCAGUUAUCUUUUGCUGAGAGUGGCUUUGAACUCAUGAUUCUUCUGUCCCAGUUUCCCAAGAUGCUGGGAUUAUAGACAUGCAUGAGGUGUGCCUAGUCAGGCUGCUGCUAUUUUAUGGCAAGAUUUCCUUCCAGAAGUUGGAUCUAGCCCAACAAGCAGAACAAACCUUGUAUAAUAAGUAAUUUCAGUUUAUGGAUUAUAUAUGUUGCAUAUUAUUCAUGAAGAAAACUAAUAUAAUGACAAUUAUUACAAAAUUUCACUUAACUUUUGUGCCCUCUCUUCUUCUUAGGGGACAGAUUUCAUGUUGAACUGGGAAGCAACCACCUAAAGCAACAAUAUCCAAUGUAAAACAUGUAAGGCACAGAGUAAUUUAAAUAUUUCUAGUAUUCCAUUAACAAAAUAAAAAGAAACAGUUGAAAGUAGUAUUAAUAACAUAACUAUCCUACCCAGAAUAUUAUCUUUCUGUGACAGAUAAAAUACUACUAAUGAAGUAUGUGUGUUUUGGGAACUACAACCUCGAGUUUGACUUUCUCUGUCAUCUCAGUUCACAGGAACCACAUUCCAGAUUUUAGAGCUAGGGGUCCCUUAACAUCAGGAACUCAAAGGACCUGAUCAUCUCUUUACAUGAUAGAGUUGAGGGACAGAGUUCCCUACUAAUAUUUCUCCUCAUGCCUCAAAAUUAGGAGAAACAAUGUCCUGAUUGUGAGAGGAAGCUCCAAUCAGUAAGUGUCCAAAAGGAGAUUAUUUUUCCCACUUAAUACUGAUUACAAGUUCUUUCCCAUUUCAGACAUCAGGUGGAAAAAAAAAGAUGGGAUUCCAGGAGGUUAGGAACACAUCACCUGCAGUCUUCCACAGCCUUGAUUCUAUUGUUUAAAUACAUGAAAUACAAACUUUUUGGGCAAUUUGAGCUUAGACCAAAUGGCCAGGCUAUAAUAUCUGUUUUCUCCUGUGGACAAAUUCUCACAACUCAUAUGCAGGUGGACUGGGACUAAAGAUGAGCUGUAUCUGACUCCAAAUCCAAAACACCUGCACAAGAUCACAUGACUCUUACAAUAUUCCUUAUGCUUAUCACACCUGGGAAGUAACAAUUAUUUUAAAACGCAGGAAUUGUAGUGUAUGCAUAUAAAAUCCAGCCCUAUAUAUUACAUAGUAUAACACAAAAAGAACAUGCUCAUAUAUCUGUGUCAUCUCAGGGUUUCCAUUUCAGGAUCCAAGGAACCUUGUUUCAGUUUACAUCAAAGGCAAACACCAGCUAGAAUUUAACUCAACACUCCUUUCCCUAUUAAUAUACAGGUUGAUAUUGAAUAUGUGGUAAGUUUAAUCAGGGGUUACUGAUUAUGAAACAGGCUGAUCUAUAGGGAUGUUAAGGACCACCAAGUCCUAUGCUUUUAAAGCAAAGAGGGACAUGGACUAUAGAGGUAUGCAGCACAAGUUUGUUUUAAUUGAGGCCAAGAUAGGACAUAUAAUUAUUGGCAGUACCAUGAAACAUCAGAGAAUUGGAAUGUGGAUUUCAAACAAGGAAGUGUUCACAUAUUAUAUUUGGGUGUGUGGAUGACCUGAGUGCCAACGAUGAAAAUUGUUAAAAGGUUAUAAGCUUCUGAAAGAAAAUUGAGCCAAAAUUUUGUCUCAGUGGUAGAGUGCUUGCCUAGCAUGUACGAGGCACUGAGUUCAAUCACCAACUUCACCCAUGCAGAUGGCAACCUCACCCCAGAGUAGCAAUAAAGGGUAUUUUCUGAGAAUCCUUUGGCUUUGACAGGUCCAUCCAUGCCUCCUGGGCCUCCUUGAGCCCAGGAGGAGGCAAAUCUAUGGUGGAAAGGAGGAAGGAAGGAUAUCUCAGACACAGAUUUUGACCAGAGGAAGCUAUCACACGGCUCUCACUGUCAUGGUCUUUGGCACCUCCAGCUAUAGAGCUUCUGCCUCCUCCUAUACUCUGAUGCCUGCAUCAAGGUCCAGCCAGGCCCAGAGGCCAGUCCAGCAGAAAAGGAGGUACAGAAGAGUUGUGAGCUAUGUCUCAGGAAACCCUUCACUCCAGCAGGACCCAAAUCCAGACUACCAGAGAUACAAGCACAGCUGGCCUGUGACAGGCUGGCCUCACAGGAGGGGAAGGGGAAGGACUGGGAGCUGAGAGGCCAGAGAUGGUAAUGAGGAUUGAUAACCUGGGAACCUUUGCUUCCAUACAGCAUGCACAAGGCAGAUUGCCGUUUAUACAGUCACAUGACUGCUAUACCAGUCCCCUAAAUUGCUGCCCAUCUGCCCUCAAGGUCCUCCUAAUCCAGCCUGAGACUUUGGAUAACACAUGUAGGUACAGAAGGCUUCUUAGCAGCAGAAUUCACACUGUGGAAGGUGAGCUGAUCCCAGGUCCCCAGAAAUGAAGGGAUGAUACAGACACCUGACAUCACCUCUUCACACAGGUGUGUGUGCACAAGGAGGCUGCCAUGACUGCCCUGCCCUCCCUGAAUAUCAGCAUGUGCACUUAUGCAUACCCAUCAAGGUGCCACCAGAUAGCAUGAAUGUGGCCAGCAGGAGAGCCUAUUGGGGUGGUUACAGAGAAUUAGAAAGGCUGAGGGGAAAGCCUCUUUGGCAUGGAGUGACCAAACUGAGCAAGGCCCUCAGCCUCCAGGAAACUCAGUUGACCUCCUUACUUCAUCACUGUCCUCACCCCCUCCCACACAGCCCCUGCUGCCCAUGCCUAACCCAAGAUGGCUGUGCUGGCUGCUAUUGUGGAUGGGGCUGUAAUGCAGCCAUGGGACAAAUUGUAGCCUCUAGGAGAAAGGAGGGGUUGUCCCAGCCUAUACCAGUCCCACUCCCACUGCAGACUCCAAUGCUUGGGGGUCCAACAGAAAGACUAAGAUGCAUAGACAUGGGGUAAUCCAGUGAGUUAUAAGGGGGGUGUGGAGGGGGAGGAGAUAGAAGGAGGAAGAAGGUCCAAAGCUUAUGGAAAGAACCAGUCAGGGGUCUGGGGUUGUGGUUCAGUGGGGCCUAUCACAUGUGGGGCCCUGGGUUUAACCCUCAGAACCACAAAAAUAAAUAAAUAAAAUAAAGUUAUUUUGUCCAAUUACAGCUAAAAUAUAUUUACAAAAAGAACCAGUCAGUAUUUCCUGUUGACUCCCCUUCUCUUGGGAGACGUUUAUUACUUUGUUACCUUUUGCUCUUGCAAUAAACAUGCUGGGUUUUUGUUUAUUUGUUUGUUUAAUUAUUUGUGUCCUGUUCUUCAAUUCUCCGCAGAGGGGAGAAAAUGGACCCUUCAGUAACAGAGGAAGGAGGAUCCUCUGAGCCCGGAUUCUAGGUUCAGACUAAAGAACACAGCAACCACCACUCUACCUAAAGACAAACAAAUGAAUGCAGCCUUUGGAUCCCAUAGGCAAGCAAAGUGGUGGAAGGCCUCUGGAAAAGUGCUUCCAUAUUGGUUAGAGAGAGAAUGGGCAGGUAAAAAAAUGGAGAUUUGGCCUCCUCCCUUUGAAGCCCAGCUCCAGGUGCCCAGGCCUCAGGCUUCUGAGCCACCCCAUCCAACAGCUCUGGAGCAUGCAGUCCACUAUACACGCCCUGCAGGGCGGUUCUCAAGUCUGCAUGGAGUGGGGAAUCCACUGAUGGCCUGCAGGAGGGCAGAAGGACCAGUCCAGCUUUGACUAUACUUGUGGCGCCCAGGGCAGAGGUCGUUCAGAUCACAGCUUCCUCCUUUUUCUCACCCCAUCCUGGCCCUGGGUUUCCAGCACCUAGUGGAUUAUCUGUAGCUUGGAUACUUUGUAGCACUGUGCUGUCAAUCUGGCGUCUCUUCCUUGGUGGGUCUGUUUUGGGCCCACCAGUGGAAGCAGGUGGGGGGGUCUCAAGGCAACAUGGUUGAGUGGCAUUCAGGCGCCAGGGGUGGGGUAAUAGGGACAGGAACUUGGAGCUUCAGAAGGGCAACUGGGUGGGGGUCUCCAGGGGCUUAGAGGUCAGACCUGAAAAGCAGAGAGCAAAACCUUCCAGGAAGUGAACCUAGAGCCUCACCCUGGAGCUGCGUGCCCUGAAAGGUAGGAGAACCAGGCAGAGUUCACUACAGUCUGGAAGCCCAGCAACCCACCUGUCUUCCCAGCACCCCCUUCACCCCAGGCCAGCUUGUAACAAGUAGCUCUUUUCUUUCCUUGCUUAAGGGUCCCAUCUGAACUCCACCUAACCUGUCCUUCCCCACAGAUGAUGGUGCAGUAGGGGAGGAAAAUGGGGUCCUGAGAGGGCUCAGUCCCCCUCCAUGGAAUGUCAGGAGCCUCCUUCAGUAAAAGGGCCAGUGAGAUUCUCACUAUGUGUAAGCAUUUAAUGGAUUGUAUGUAUAUAAUAUCAAUAAGAUCAAAUACAAUGCAUGUUUGUACUCGACCCAGACACAUAUUAUUGAGAUGUUUAUAGAUUGACCAUGUUGGGUAGAUUGGCUUACUUCACGGAGCAUAAUAGUUUCUAGAUUCAUCCGCUUACUGGCAAAAGACAUUAAGUCACGAUUUCAUGAUUAUUUAUAAAUAUAUAUUUUUAGUUGUUGAUAGAACUUUCUGCUUAUUUAUUUAUUUAUAUGUGGUGGUGAACCUAACCCAGUGCCUCACAAGUACUCUACCACUAAGCUACAACCCCAGAGAACACUUGAUUCAGUUUGAUAUUUUUCUGCCUAUAUUAAUAUAUUAUCUUUAAAUAACAUUUUAAUGUAGAACUAUUACUUUUAGACUUUUGCUCCUAGAAAUUCAUUGUUAAUAUCUCUCACACUUACUUGGAAUGCAUAGAACUAUUUAUUUUGUAUUGCAAAGGGUGUUCUGUAAAUAUGAUACUUUAAGUGUUUCAUCAGAAAUUAUUAGUUAAUCAUCUGUUCAUUGCAAACAUGACAGUAAAAUCAUAUUGGGACAAAAAUUAUAAGUAGAUAAUUAAAGUUAACAUUGUACAGCUAUGCAAUGCUAUUUAAAUUCAUAUAAAACAUUGAAUUCAGAAAUUGUUGGUUCUGGAGAUGGAAACCAAGACCUCACACAUGUUGUGCAGGUGUUCUACUAUGAGCUAUAAACCAACCUGCUCUAUUCAAAUUAUUAAUCUAUUAGAAUGGUUAACCCACUGAUGGAAGUCAGGGCCCUUGUAAUCCAGACUUUUCACCUCUUAAAACUUCAGCACUGCCACCUGAGCUUUGGGGGACAUUCCAGACCAAAACCAUGACAUUUAUGAAAACAAAACUAAAGUAAAUGGGGAAAUCUUUAGAACAUAUGGUUAAGCAAAACAUUCCCAGAUUUGACAAUGAAAUAAAACCUAGAAAAGUGAAGAUGAAUAAAUUAAUAAACUUCUGUUCAGUGGAAUCCCUGAUUCAGUGGAUAAAAAUAUAAGUUAAAGACUCAAUGAACAUGCAAGCUGCAUGUGGUGGCCAUGCCUGCCAUUCCAAAAACGUGGGAGGCUGAGACAGGAUGAUGGCCUAAGACUCAAUUCAAGGCCAGCCUCCACAACUUCCUGAAACCCCAUCUUAAAAAUAAAAAAAAAAAAAAUACUGGGGACAUAAAUCAUUUGUAAAGUGCCCAAGUGCCCUAGGGUUCAAUUCUCAAUCCCCCCCCCCCACUAAAAGAAAAAAAGAAAAAAAUAUAUAUAAACUCCACUUUCAGCAAAGUUCUUCUGUUUUGAAUGUAUAAGGUAUUCUCAAAACUCAACAUAGAACAAAAACAAACAAUCCUAAAAGAAAAAGGCAAGAAUCAAGGGCAUUAUGCUCAAAGAGAAUACAGUCACAGGGAAUGUGUUCAAUGUACUUUGCCAUAAGGAUUCCUGAACUAAGAUGAGUGGGACAAUGGUCAAGGCAUGAGAUUGGUACAUCCAUGGACCAGGAUACCACUUAACAAAGAGAAAAUACACUGCUGACACACAACAGCUUGGACAAGUCACCAGAGUCUCAUGCUGAAACUCUCUGAAAGGAAACAUACCACCUGAGUCCACUGAAGCAACACUGGUCAGAUGACCAGGUCACAGACACAGAAGACAACUUCAAGGCUGUCAGGGGUGAAGGAUGUGCCAGGACUGGGAGGGACAGAGGUGAAAAGAAAGGGAGACAGGCCAGCUGCUCAACACCAGAGCCCUUCUACACCCUGACUGUGGGGCUUUCAGCACCUGUUGAGGCCACUACACGGGGUUUCAAGAUGAGUCCACCCAGGAAGGCUGGGUAAAGUGCAAGGGGUCUCCCCACUAAUUCUGUCUCAGUGUGCAUCUGAAAUUACCUCGCUAUAAAACAAUUAGCCCUUUUAAAGAGCUUAGGCUUCAGGAUAAAACUAGAAGGCCCUGCUCACAGGAUGAAAAAUACUGAAAUAACAAAGUUGAAUGGUCCAAGCACAGGACCAACAGCAGCUGUGAUCCACUGGAGGUGACCACAAGGGCAUGGGCAAGAGGGCUGAACCCUGCUCCCUGCUGAAACUUCAGCCUGAUCUUCCGUGGUAACUAUGGCAUCCUGCCCUGGAAAUCCACACUUCACCUCCAUAACCCUCAAUGUGAACUUUGAAAGUGGCUGCAUUUCCAGGGAGACUGGCUGGGACGAGUCUAUAGAGAAGGCGCCUGGCCCCACCUACUGUCCGCCCAUUCCCCAGCACCCUUGUACCCGCCUGUACUCACACAGAGUCGCAGCUUCUUCUCUGGGGGCGAUUUCCUCAGCCAGCCAGAGUGCACUAAUUGGCUGCUAUCCAUGCUGCCCGCGGUGAUAGACCUGAGCGCAGAGUCAGUUGCACAGGCUGGGAGAGGAGACCUGGGCAUGCUUGUAUGCUCACUAGCCACGGAAGUCCUCAGCACCACGACCCCCUGGCCAGCUGCCUUAUGCAGGUCUGGAGACCUUCAGGCCUGCCACGGAAAUAACCCCUUCCCUCUGAGAAGGAGGGGGUGAUGCUGAAGGCCCCCUGAGCCUCGAGGGGUGGGGUGAAGUGUCUCUGCAUUUUCGAAACCAUCUGAAUGUUAACAUAGAGUACCCGGUACAACAUAAACACUAUGUAACAGUUUAGAAAUCUGCAUGGUUUGGCUGGGGCUGAGGUGUGUGGUGAAGUCAGGUGCACCCAAUUCAUCUUUCCCUAGAGGUUGGUCUUCUGCAUACCCGUGGACAUUUUUGCAACAUUUUUGCCAUCAAGACUGGCAGUUAGUUGGGGAUAGGUCACAUUAAUUCAGAAGCUCCUCUGGGUCUAAUUUCCUUAAACAAAAGUCCUGGAUUGUUGGUUACAAUUCCAUGUGGAAACAGAGAGUCUUGGAGGGAUAGUGUGGCUCCAUGUCUUCUGUGUACAUAUCAUCCUUCUCUUGCUCUCCUACCCCCAAAGCUACUGUGAAAUGAACCUUCAUUUGCAAUCUAUUUUAGUAUUUAGAGGAUUGAAAUGAAACUAAGAGUAUUGUUUUUUAACAGAGUCCCAUCCAAUCACAGUAGGGAGGUCUGAACUGACCAAAUGAGACAAACACCAUUUGCAACCUGAAAAGCUGACUUUGUAACCAGUUGAGUUGUUUUUGUACCUCACAUCUCUUUUCUGUUUGUAAAUGCCCCCUGAUCCUGUGGCCCUAUUCUUCUACUUUUGUGCUGCUGGAUUGUGAAUUGUUCUUUUAAAAAAAGGUUUAUUCAAUAAAUUGCUUUGCUUCACUUGGUGAAGUUUCUUCAUUUAAAAAUGACUUUGGGAUGUUUAUUAUUUUAUUUUUUGCCAAACUUUCCCAUCUCUCCCCCCUUCUUUCUGCAGCUUUUGGUAACUUCUAGUCUACUCUCAACUUCUGUUAUUCUUCCUUCUUAGAUAUUUUUAGAAUUUUAUUCAUCUAAAUGAAUUUUAUACUUUUUACACAAAGUGCUCAAUUUUUAAAGAAAUCAUGUUGGGAUUUUAAAAGAACAUGUAUGAAGCUGUAUAAAUUAAUAUGGAAAAAUACAUUGUAACAAAAUUAUAUAUUCCUUAUUACUCAGGCAUAAAGAAGAAUGAAAUUAUGGCAUUUGCUGGAAUGGAUGUGUUAUGGAGAGGCACUCCAGGAAACACUGUAAGUUUGAAUUUGAAAUCAAAAGAGAGUUUUAUUUACCUUGCCAGGGACUGUCACCCACCAUAGAGACUCAACCUCUGUAGGAGGACAGCAGCUUUCUGGUCCAUCCAAGAAGAAUAUAAGCAUAAAACCUACAACUUAGUGACUUGCUAAUAAUCAUGUAAGCUAGACAAUCAGAGAAAUUAAAACAUUAACAUGUGGGACCUGUGGGCUUUAGGCAGGACUGGAAAUUUCCAGUCAGCAAGCAAGUGAUAAACAUAAGCACUAAUAAGUAGCUGAAUUAGAAAUAAACAUAUAGAAAUAAAUGUUUUUAUAUGUAUUAAUCAUAACCAGUUAGGAAAAAACAUAUAGGUAAAAACAUUGCCUUCAUAAUAGCUACAGCAAAUUUAUAAUACAUUAAAAAUUUUUAUUGAUCUGGAAGAAAAUUAUAAAUCUUUUUACUGAGAUGCUUAAUAGUCCACAAGUCCUCAUAGGAGGAAGGACACAGGUCUGGAGAGGAAUGCCAUAAAUAUUUGGUUUUUGCUUAGUUGAGACAGAAUCUAUGUUGUCCAGGCUGGCCUUGAACUCCUGGGCUCAACUGAUCCUUUUACCUCAGCCUCCCAAGCAGCUGGAACAACAGGCAUGCAACACCAUGCCUGGUUAAUAAACCUUUCAUGGCCAUGAUUCUGUUGUAUAUUUUCUUUAUAGAUAACUUCUUACUUUUUAUAAGUUAAAAUAUACUAGAAAGGGCAAGCAGCAUAGGCCCUCUCUUCAUUCCCUGACCCCAAAUUAAGCCUCUGGAGAUGGGGCUGCCCAGGGGACUCUGCUGCACAGCUAGAUCUGGCAGUGACUCAGAAGCCACUUUUUGCAGAACAGAGACCUCUGAAUUUCUUAGUAUUCCUGCCAAGGAAUAGAUUUCAAAUAAACACUUAAUUUAAGACUUUUUAAUGAUUCAAACUAUUGAAGAAGCUGUACUUACACAAUUUCACAUUGUCUUCACAGAAUAAUUUUGUGCAAUACUGUCUGAAUUAUUUUUCUCUAUAGGGAAGCUGCAUAAAAUAUUCUACAUCAACCCGGAUUCUUAAACGUGAAACAGAGAUAGUUCCAUUACAAAUAAAAAUUGUGCAUAAUAUAGUCAUUUAAAAUAUACAUAUAUAAUUAUUAUGCUUAAUGUAAAACAAAACACAUACAAAAAUUGUUUCUAAUGGCACUACCACAGGCAAGGGAAAAGCUCUUUCUUGAAGAAUGACAAAAAAAAUCUUUAUUUUUAUGUAAAAACACAAAUAUACAUAUAGUACAUAAAUUGAUGAUGAGCAUAUGUUGGUAUGAAAAUUUCAACAAAGAAGCCCAAAAAUUUAAGAAAAAAAAGUGUUUCAAUGAGGAUUUGGUGGUUGAGACAUAAUGAACAAAUCUGUGAAGAAAUUCUAUUUAUGAUCUUUAAAUAUCAACAUUGGUAUAAGACCAGAAUUACAUGAAAGUUUCUAUAAACAGAUGGAUUUUGCAAUAGUUAGUAUUUGCCAAUUUUGCACGAAGAAAUAAAAUACUGAGAUUGGAUAAUAAGUUCAAUAUCAGGCUGGGGGUGGGUAUGCAGCUCAGUGAUAGAGUACAUGCAUGGGCUGAGGAUAGCAUGUAUGGGUUCCAUACUACAAAACGAAACCAGUACCAAAAAAGUACAAUGUUUUACUUCAGAUUAAGGCAAAUGACAGCCCACUUUACCAGAUUAUUUCAAUGUGAACUAGUCUCUUCCCUGGAUCCUCAUCAUGCCUGAAUGUACAUCAUCUUUUGUCUCAUAAAGUUUAGGAAAAGGUGAUUGCCCAAUUUCAUCAUAUUAUUCUCCUGCCUCAAUAAACCUAGAUCAAAACACCAAAUACAAAAAGAAAGUCCCCAAGAGCUCAAAACAAGUUAUUUUAAUAACAAUUGUGGUUAUUAUAAACAUGCAAAAUUACAAGCUGGAGAAGGAUCUACUUUUUCCUUAAGUACCUAUAAAUCCCCAAUAUCUGGAAAUUCCUGCUGUGACAUUGUUCUUUCUAUUGAGGAGACCCCUCCUAUUGCAACUGAAGUUUACUUGGUAUUGCUCCUCCUUCAAUAGAAGAGUACUCAUAGUUGUUUAUUAAACUGACAAUCUCUUACUCUGAGAAGGAAACUAGAAACAUUAUCACAAAACGCUGAGACUGACUUGUUGCUCAUGUUUUCUAGUAAAUGUGACAUGUGGCCCCAGAGUCAGUGAAGACUAUCCAGUCACCACCCAGUUAUCAGCUCAUUAUGAUCUCUCUCUCCACCUUAAGCCACUUUGAUAAGCAGGAGAAUAAAGAACACACACUUGAGCACACAAUCUGAUCUCUGCAACCUGAGGCCAGACCAGCAACCUACCCUUCUGGGGAGACAAGUGUUCCUCUCUACUUCCUGUUACUGUCUUUCUUGCAGCCACCCUUCCCUAAUGGACUUGCUCCAUCACAGGAGCAAACUGAGGGAAUGCAACAGAGAACAGCUGGUGAAGGCUCCAGGAGAUGCAAAGCAAAGUGCCCAAACCCAUAUGCCCUUUCCAGGAAGGAAGGUGGAGAAGAGAGAGGUUGCCCUGCACCACCACUUUGGCUCCUGGGAAUAUACCACACAAACCUACAAAAGAAAAGGAAGAUUUGGUUUUCAUGUUUGAUGUCAAGAAUCUCUAGUCACAUAAUUGGACCAAAAGUUCCCUCUGGAAACCAUCUCAGCCUACAUUUUACCUUACAGAAGAGGAGAGAUGUUACCAUCUGGACCUGCUAAGCUAAACACAGUCUCCCAGUUACAGAAUUUCAGGAGGAAUACAGGUCUCCCAGAUUCUAUUCCACUGUUUUUCUUACUACAGUAGUCCCCUCAUCCACAGUUUCAGUGCUCACUGGUUAAAUAAAACUUGAACAUAUUAAUAGGAAAUUCCAGAAAUAAACAAUUCACAAGUUUUACGUUAUGCUCCAUUCUGAGUAUUUUGAUGAAAUCUCACCGUUUCCUUCCAUCUCAUUCCAUCAAUCCCAGAACAUGAAGUAUUCCUUUGUAGAGUAUACCCAUGCUGCAUGUACCACCUACCCAUUAGUCACUCAGUAACCAUAUCCAUUGCAGAAUUGUUAUUGCAGGUGCUUAUGUUCAAGUAACUAUUAAUGGCCCCAAAGUGCAAACUAUUAAAGUGUAUUAUUAUUAUUAUUUUAAAUAUUAUAAUUAAUCUUUUACUGUGACUAAUCUAUAAAUUAAAGUAUCAUAAAUAUUAAUGUACAUGGAAAAACCCAGCCUAUAUUCAGAGGUUUUCACUUGCGGUUUUAGAACAUAUCACCCACAGGUUAGGGGGAGUACUAUAAAAUCAUUGUGACUCCUUAACUAAGGAAAAUUUUUAGAAAGUAAAAAUUUAAAAAUGCAUUGCUUUAACUUCUGAAAUCAGAAAGCUUACAAAUGAUUGUCAGUCAUGUCAUGUGUGAGACUGAUAUAAAACUGCAACCACCCGGUUAUCCUCUCCAUUCACUUGCACGGCUUUUUCCACCCUCUAAGUUUGUUUACUUCCUGUCACAAAUGGAUUUUGGCUCUAUGAAGAUGUGUAUUUUUAUUUGUUUUGCUUACUGCCAUAUUUCAAGGACCCAUCACAGUGCCUGGCACAUAAUAAGUCUUCAAAAACUACUUAUUGGGUGGCUGAAUGAAUAAAUACUUGCAGCUUCUCUUAAGGGGAACCAUUUCCACUUAAGUGACAUUCCUUGACAUCCUGACUGAAACACAGGAUCAUCAUACUCAACAGAUAAUCCAAAGCCUAACAAAUCAUGUGUGUGUGUGUGUGUGUGUGUGUGUGUAUGUAUGUAUGUAUGUUUAUUUUUCUCAUCCCUCUUUGUCCCUCACUGGAACCUACUAGUUUGGCCAUGCUGGUUGUGGCCUUACACAGUGGACGAUGGGCACUGAUAUUGCAAGAAGUUAAAGAGAGGCAGGCCAUAAUAUGGUGUAAGCAAAAUACAGAAGCAUGCAUUGGGCCUAAGUCUAAAGCAACCAAAAGGGAGGUGUCAGCACUAGACUGAGAACUCCAAGCCCUCUGCUGAAGUGUCUACACUGGCUGAGGAUUUAAAAUAAUUUUCUCAUUCCAAUACCCAAGACUAUGACUCUAAUGCCUGGAUUUGGAUGUUGUGCCAUUUCCAAUUUCCCCACAUUGAUCUUACACAACCAGUCUUUGUAUGGCUAUCUUCUACCUUGUGCUGAAAAUCCUAAUGCCAGUGAUAAUUAUAAACAACUGGUAUUACCCAUAAAGCCUUCAUCAGCUUAGGUGACAAAGUAUUCUACAUUGUGAGUAGUGUUCCAAGACAAAGUGAAUAAAGCACAUAUAGAAUAUAACUGCCCCUCUUCCAGUAUGCAUGGCUUUAUUUCUGUAUCUAGACACAUGCUGUUAUAAAAAUCUUUCACUGCAGUAUUUCAUUAUGGAUAGUCCAAUUCACUUCCUUUAAUAAUAAUCCAGAAGCAACCUGGAUAUACAAUCUGUAAAAUUUUUAAAAGACAAAUAAACAAUGCAUAAUUUAAAAGUAGAACCAUAAAAUUAUAAACCUUACAAUCAUGAUAACUACUUUUAAUAUAAGUGAGCAAACAAAUUCUUAACAAGUAAUUUUGUCUUAAAUUGUUAGACCAAAGGUAAAUACCAAAUUGUAUAAGUAGCAAUAAGUAAGUCAUUUUCAAUGAUGUGCAGAGAUGCCUUUUAUCUCCAUAUUUUGAAAAUAUCCAUAAUUAUAUUUACAAGCAGGGGUCACAGCUAUAUUUUAACAUUUUUUUUAAAAAAGGAAAAGUAAGUAGGAAUACAUGUAUAUUAUACUCAUAUUAAAAAAGAAGUAAUGAUAAAAAACAUAAACUAUUACCUAUAAUGGAACAGAGAAUAAAUUUAAAGAAACAGAAGCAAAGUCAAACCUGUUGGAAUAUAUCAUGUUACAUGUUAUUGUUAUUAGAAAUACAGAUUUCACUGUUAGAGACAAAAUAAAAAUAUAAAAAAAUUAAAUUUGAAUUGACAGUCUAAGAAUUCAUGACUUUUCAAAUGUAUUUCCUUGUUCUGCCUAAUGAAAGGGCUUAGAAGCAAUAUUGUCCUAAAUUUUGAGAUCCUAAAUGCCAAGAAGCAGGAACACAGGUAUUUGUAGUCAUAUUAUGCCUACUUUUCCAAUUAUUUAAACAUUGUAUAUUAAAAAAUGUAAAAAAGAAUAUUGGUGGGCUGGGGAUGUGGCUCAAGUGGUAGUGCACUCCCCUGGCAUGCACAGGGUGCUGGGUUCAAUCCUCAGCACCACAUAAAAAUAAAAUAAAGAUGUUAUGUCCACUGAAAUCUCAAAAUAAAUAUUAAAAAUUCUCUCUCUCUCUCUCUCUCUCUCUCUCUCUCUCUCUCAAAAAAAAAAAAAAGAACAUUGGUCAUUCUAAUUCUAGUAAUGAUAUCUGCAGGUAACAAUUGUAAACCCUGGGGCAUGGGUAAUGAUCUGAAGUCACUGAAGUGGUGCUCAAAGCAGACAGGUCCUAAAAGACGUUUGGUUCCUCAAAGAGAGAAACCUCAAGAAAAUCCAGGUUUUCAUAGCUUUUCCCAGAGGACCUCCCACGGCUCUGACUCCUUUUCUUAAUGUUGGAGUGGUGGAAAGGCUCUUCUUUUUUCUCUUUAUCCCCAUCUCCUGCUGGCUCACAAUUGCCUCAGAGUCUAUGUAUAAGCUUUUCCUUUACUAGGAUAUUAGUUUCUGUCAACCCACCUCCAAAGUGUAAUGAACAUAUAGCCCUAUGUGAUUCCCAAUCUUAAAUAGGAUCUUCUGAGUGAGACAUUUCCUGACUUCCCAAACUUUAUCUGGUUCUGUUAAGAUAAAGAAAGCUUAUUACAGAAAUAAGGAAAACUAUUGUAACACACGCUUCCAAUACUACUGUUUACUUCCUCCUAUUUUCUGGUGAUAAAGGGAUACACCAAUUAAUUUUAGGAGGGGAAUAUCUACCAAAAUGUUCAAUAAAAAUGUUUAAUUAAAUUUAGUUACAUUAAGAUAAGGUGGUUUCGUUAUCCUAUGAUUUGAAUUUUCCCACCUACUUUUGAGAAAAUGGAAUAGACUUUCUACUAUACAAGAGUAUAGAAUAUAUGGAUUGCAUUUGCCUUGAAAUGUGGUUACUGCUUGCUACAUUGAAGUGUGAUGCUUAACAUUAUGUGUCAACUUGGCUUGAAUAUGUCUCAAAAUUUUGAUGAAAUUCCCUUACAGAGGUUGCUAUGAAGAUUUCUUUAGAUGUGGCUGAUAUUUAAAUAGAUUUUCAGUAAGACAAAAUACCUGUCAUAAUUUGAUCCAAUCAUCUGAAGGCUUUAUGAGAAAAGACUGAGUUCUUCUAAAGAAGCAUGAUUCUGCUGCCAGACUUCCUUUAGACUGAAACUACAUCAUCAUCUCUUUUCUAGCCCACAGGAGUGCUCUGCAGAUUUUAGAAUUAUCAAUCUCAGCAAAUGCCUAAAACUAAAGCUGUAUCCCCUCUCCUCCCGCUACCACUCUCCUCCUCCUCCUCCUCCUCCUCCUCCUCCUCCUCCUCCUCCUUCUUCUUCUUCUUUUCUCUCUCUCUCUCUCUCUCUCUCUCUCUCUCUCUCUCUCUCUCUCACACACACACACACACACACAUGCAAACAAUCAAUUGAAUCUGUUUUUCUAAUGAACCUUGACUAAUAUAGAGAGAAUAGAGGGAAGUAAGAAAACUAAUUUCACAAUGAAUCACUCUUUCUAUUAGUUAUUUUAAUUCCCCAAGAAACCCUAGAAAGUAAGUUUAAUUAUUAUUGUAAUUUAAGAGGAGAAAAAAUGAGUCCCAGAGAAGAUAAGAGGUACUUUCCUGUGUAAUGGGAAGCUAUGCGAAGAACCUAGCAUGACAGUCUUCAUGCCUUCUGCCAUUCUUAGAUUACCUGUCUGUGAGAGGCACUGGCUAGGGAAACUUGUAUUAGCCAGAGACAGCACUGCACUAUGCUCCAAAAAUAAGAGAGACUCUUUGGAUUAGAGAAGGGCAAAAAUAAACUUCAGAGUUAUUGUUGGUAAGCUGUGAUUGUUGCUGUGGUUUUAUUAAGCAAUAAUUUUUUCUGACAUUGUGCUGGUUUUCAGAGAUUAUGAGAUAGUCCCCCAUUUUAAAAAUAAAACACAAAAAUAUAUUUCUUCAUUCCAUUAGUGAGCUGAGAAUGGUUUCUAUUUUCUUUCAAGGUUUUUGCCCAGUUUUCUUGAUGCAGCCCCCACAUUUGUAAGUUUCACUGAGGCUAGACUAGGACAAACCUUUGUCCUCCAAAUGGAGCAUGUGUUUCUAUUUCAAAGUCUGUGGCCCACGUGUACCUUGGGUAAGAACAAUGAAUGGAAGAGUUGCCAAAAUUAUAGUAUCCUAGGGGAAAAGCAAUGUAGACUAAUUGUACUCUCUAAAUAAUAAAAUAAGGUAUAGGCUUCUUUGCUCAAAGCCAAAAUUAUUUCUAUAUAUCUCUAGUAUUUACAGUUCCCAAGAAAGCAUCCCAAAUUUAUUCUUAGGACUAUCGAAUAUGAUGGCCUUAAGGCACCACACUAGAGGUAGAAAUGAGUUUGAGUGAUGACAUCUUAUUAAAUAGAGAGAAAGAGUUUUCUGAUGUUAAUAUAAAUGUAUACUUUGAUUGAUUUUUUUGGAGACCCCUCAAAAUAUUUUAGAUGAAAACAUGUGUCAGUUAAAAUAUGAUAAUAAAAUCAAGUCUUUUGUAUAUAUUUAUGUCACUAUAUUUUUAUUUUGGAACUGGUUUUAAGACUGAACUUAAAUUUUAUAGCAAUGAAUUAUCAAUUUAUUAUUUCUGCUUUUUUUUUCUCUUUUGUAUUGAUCACCAGCAAAACACAAGCUUGCAAGAGAAAAUGUCAAUAUUUCAGACUAAGCAGAAUGGAGGCUACCCCCUAACUUUUCUGACCUUAAAUUCAGAAGAAAUAUAUUUGAUAGGAGAUAUAGAAAUCAAAAGCAAAAAAAGAAAAAGAAAAUUAGCUCAACUGGGCUUAAAAUCUGAGAGUAGUAUUUAGAGCUAAGAAAUAAAUUUGAGUGAAAUGCAUCUUAGAAUAAAAGCAAAACCAAAAUUCCAGUGAAGAAACCAAACCACAUAUGUAAGAUGGAAAGAGUAAGACAAUUCAUUGGAAAAGCUAAAAUUCUAAUAGAAAUGAGAUUAGAAAGAAAAAGAAGUUGCAAAAUGGAUGAAAAUGAAAAGAGAGAUCUAAAUGUUUUGAGUUUCAUUUAGCAGGGCAGAGGCUCCUCCAUUGCCUUCAGGUUGGAUGAGUCCCCAGGCCUUUCUAACGAAAGAGCAGUACGUGACCAAGUCGCAUAUUGUGAUUUCCUCAUUUCUCUCUAAUGAUGACGCUUUCAAAAAGUUCCUCCUUAGUUCUGUUAUUUGGAACUUUUUCCCAGUCACCAACACUCAAAAUAAUUAUUAAUUGGAGAAACUGAUUUUUUUAUGAAAACAUAUGCUGCUCUUUGAUGAUUUUCUCUAUUCAUGUUAGUUUUAAUGUUUUUACAACUUAUUGCUGUCUUUCCCCUUACUAAACAUGACUAUUUUGUUUUAAUUAAUUUUAGCAUUUACAUGAAAGAAUACUUUGUAUAGAUUUAUUUAUUCAGUGUUUUGACCUUAAUAACACUCUCUGGGAAUAAAGUUAUUUUCCAUUAUUUUGUUAUUGUUGUUGUUUUUCCAAAUGAAAUUAUGCUCUUUUUAUGCAUGGUAUUAUAUUUGAAGAAUGCUAAUGCAAUAAUGAAGCCAUAAUCAAGCUAAUUCAUAGCCAAAAAUGUUGUUUAAGCACCCACCAAUACUGUGACUCUCUUUUAAGCUACAUUUUUAUGCACUACCUUUUUUUGCUGUUAGUUCUAGGGUCUUGAAUUUCCAACUAGACUAUAAAAUCCUCCAUGAUAGGGACAGUAUUUUAAUGCUUUUAUGACCUCCAUUGAUAUUGGUAUAGUGCUCAGUAAAAUGUGCAUUUGAAUAAGUGUGUGUUGAAUUGAUACAGUUCUUAAACAUGCAUAUAAUUGAGUCAUGUGACAUCUCUGAGUUGCCAAGUUUUUGAGUUAAAUGGUACUUAAAUUAAAGUAGCUAGCUUCCUUAAAAAUUAUAAGAUUCUUCUAAAAUCUCAUCAUUCCUAAUUCAAUUUGUUAAAAAAGAUGCAUAUUUCAAGAGCCAACAAUUUUAGAAUAUUACUUAUUCAAUUGCAUUUUUGCUAUUUGACUUUAGAAAUCUUAAAUAAAUCUUAUUUAGUAUACAUCUUUUCUUUUUGGCAAAGAAUAUACUUAAAGUGUUAGAACUACAUAUGUUCAUUUUUGGCAAUAAUUCUUACUAUAUUGGCAAGGUUCAGUUGUUUCUUUUAAGAUAUUUGUAUUUCUUAAAAGCUUCACAACAAAAAAUAACAAUAUGUGAAUUAUGUGAAACUGAAGUUCAUUCUGUAUGUUGUGUAUAGAUUUAUCUUCUCAUAUACUAAAAUAUUUGGUGUCCUCAGUACAUUUGUACUGGCUCUGGUACAAUUUAAACCUUUGGUAGCUCUCAGUUUUCCUAAACAUUUUUUUAAAGUUUUUUGUUGUUGUUGUUGUUCUAUCUCAGAAUUAUUUUUGUGUGUGAGAAAGUUCUUGACUUAGAAUUAAAAAAAUGUGUAAGAAUUAUAAAAACUUUCAGAUCCAUGUUGUUUUAGAGAUUUAUUGGUUAAAAAAUUAACUUUUUAGUACUCAAAGCUACUCUUUUUUUAUAUAUACUUUUUAGGUGUACAUUGACAGAACACAAUGCCUUUAUUUUUAUGUGGUGCUGAGGAUCAAACCCAGGUUCCACCCAUGCUAGGCGAGAAAAUCACAGCCCUCGGAGCUAAUUUUUAUGUGAAGUUGCCUGUGUGCUUCUCUCUUUCUCUCCUUCCCUCACUGAAUCUUGAUUUCUAUGUUAUCUAUUUGUCAAAGCCAUCAGACUUCCAUAUGUUUAAUAAAAAUAGUGUAAAUGAAACAUUAGUUUUUUUAUAAUUAGUUGAUACCUUAAUAAUUUUAAAGAAUUUUUUAUCAAUUUCUUUUGGUAUUUAUGCUUGUAAGAAAAAAUUAACAUUGACAUUUGUACAAAUACUAUUAACAUUCUGAAAAUGGUGAAUCCACAUAAUGAAUAAUUAAACAAUUUAGGGUAGUUUUUCAGGGCUAUUCUGUAAAUUUUCAUCCAGGAGAUGAGGCCUGAACAUAUUUUGAAGCAACUGUGUUCAGGGAAGUGAAAAUAUAAUAUACUGGAUUUAUGUGUAGAGGGUAAAGAGAUCAAGAAAGUUCAGAUCUGUCAUUAUUUAGAGUUAGACUUUAUCCUUUAGUUGGUAUAGAAUUGUAAAAAAAAAUGUUUAAAAGAUAAAAAAAAUUGAAAAUUGAACAAGACAGUAUGUUAAACUGAAAAUUAAACAGGACAGUAUGUGAUAUGUAUUGGAAGGUAAUAAGAAAGAUAAUUCUUUUUGUUCUUUUUAGACAAUUUCUAGGGUGGCUCAUGGGCCCCAGGAGGAGAGAUCAGAGUAAGGUGGAAUUAUAUCAUUUAUUAAAAAGAAAUAAGAACUCAAUAGAGAAGGAAGGAUUUUAAAUGUACCUAAUAAAAUACCUUCCUUAGCCUUUUUUUUUUACAACAGAUAAGUAAUGUGCAGAGGUAGUGACAAGGUGUAGAGCAAGGCAUAUCUCCCACACCAGCCACAUGAACACUCAAUAAUCAUCACACUUAUGAACCAAAAGUAUCUUUAUUCUAUUUUUAUAAGUUACAAUAAAGAUUGUUGUCAUGAUGAAAUAAAUGAUUAAAAUUUAAUUCAUUUUUAUAUAGGUCAUAAAAUCCAUGCAAUCAAUUAUAUCUUGGUUAGUAUAACAGAUUGAAUCAUAUCAUACUGUUGGCAUAGGCCUAUAUUUUUAUUAUUCUUUUCCUUAUGACCUACUUUAUCAGGAAGGGCCUUUGGACUUUCAGGAGUAGUUUCUUAAGCUUAUUUAUUAAAUUUAACAAGCUUUUCAUAAACUUCCUUAACUGAUUUUUUCUUAGGGAGUUUGGCUAUAAUCCUUAACUGUGUAUGAGAAUUGGCUGAAUUAUUGCAAUUGUUGCAAGCUGACCUAUUUUCCAGGAUUGCUAUGUUUACCUAGAAAGUAAUGUUAAUUCCCCUAGACUCAAUGGUCACAUGAGAGGUGAGUAAUAUUCCAAUAAAAAUAAAGCCAAACAAAAACCAUUCAAUUCCCAGAAACAUGCUGCACUCCCCUGGAGGUGGGUUCCCUAGCACCAUCCACCUCAGGAAGACCUUGCCGUUUCCUGGGUCAGGGGAGGGGUGAAGCAAUUAACCAGUCUUCUAAAAGUUUUACCUAAGAGUACCAACUUAUUUGUAAGAUAAAGAAAAGUCAGAUUAAACUAAUGUCCCCUAGUAAGUCAGAUCUCUAAAAGUAAGAAAUUUUACUUUCUUCAAUUCCAAGAUGAAGAAAGUACCCUACAUGUGAGUGUACUCAAAUAAAACAAUGAAUAAUAAAUGACAUAGGGUGAGAGUGGUUUAUCCAUAUAACUACCAUAAAACACUCAAACAACAAGUGCAAUAACCAUGUUACUCUCAUCUUUGUGCAGGAAUCCCAAUAAUACCAGCAAGAACUGCUGCUGCUACAAGGUCCUCUUACACAGGUGAUAGAAAUGUCUUCGCACAUCAACCCUGUGGAUCCACUCUUAUCCAACUGUUAUUUCCAAAGGGAAUGGGGACAUGUCCCAAAUAAUAGCACUCAAACAACACAGAGCUACUCAGGUUACACUUAUGUUUGACUAUGGGACACAGACACUUGAGAACGUGUACAGAAGAAAUCAACAUAAUCUAACAUAACAUAAAGAAGGCAUGGCUGAAGGAAGGAAGAGAGCACAAAGGAGAGAAGAUCAUGAUACUACUACUGAAGUAGUUCCUACACUGGGGCACUGUGCUGUGUGCAUGAAGAAUCCUGCUCAACAAACAGGGGACCCCAAGCUAUAUUGUACAGUAUCUGUUACAGUUUCAAUAUUAGAUGUCCCUCAAUAGCUCAUGUGUGAGACAAUGCAAAAAGGUUUAGAGGUGAUAUAUUAUUGAUUUAUAAGAGCCUGCAUCCAAUCAGUGAAUUAAUCCCUUGAUAGAGAUUAAUGGUUUGGUAACUGUAGGCAGGGAGGGUAUGGCUGCAGGAGGUGGGUCUCUGGGGAUGUGACUUUGGGAUAUAUGUUUUUUGAGCUGGGCUUAGUUCUCUGCUUCCUAGCCUCUGACCAAUUCUCCCACCAAUGUUUCACCUCACAUAAAUUCCCAAGGAAUGAAGCCUUGUGGAAAUGCACAGAUAUCUGUGAAACUGUGAGCUCCAAAUAAACU